GUUGUUUACUCUUUUGUGGCUCCUAAAGUUUAUAUAAUAACAAAAUUUCAUAUGUAUACAUUAAAUGAAAAUAAAAUAAAUACUUUCUAAAGGAA
rnacentral:lncRNA from 1 species